GAUGAACGCUGGCGGCGUGCCUAAUACAUGCAAGUCGAGCGAACAGACGAGGAGCUUGCUCCUCUGACGUUAGCGGCGGACGGGUGAGUAACACGUGGAUAACCUACCUAUAAGACUUGGAUAACUUCGGGAAACCGGAGCUAAUACCGGAUAAUAUAUUGAACCGCAUGGUUCAAUAGUGAAAGACGGUUUUGCUGUCACUUCUAGAUGGAUCCGCGCCGCAUUAGCUAGUUGGUAAGGUAACGGCUUACCAAGGCAACGAUGCGUAGCCGACCUGAGAGGGGGAUCGGCGACACUGGAACUGAGACACGGUCCAGACUCCUACGGGAGGCAGCAGUAGGGAAUCUUCGGCAAUGGGCGAAAGCUUGACGGAGCAACGCCGCGUGAGUGAUGAAGGUCUUCGGAUCGUAAAACUCUGUUAUUAGGGAAGAACAAAUGUGUAAGUAACGAUGCACGUCUUGACGGUACCUAAUCAGAAAGCCACGGCUAACUACGUG
rnacentral:rRNA from 1 species